AUCAAAGGUGAGCCAGUACAGGAUGGACCCGCGUCUGAUUAGCUAGUUGGUAAGGUAACGGCUUACCAAGGCGACGAUCAGUAGCCGACCUGAGAGGGUGAUCGGCCACAUUGGAACUGAGACACGGUCCAAACUCCUACGGGAGGCAGCAGUGGGGAAUAUUGCACAAUGGGCGAAAGCCUGAUGCAGCAACGCCGCGUGAGUGAUGAAGGCCUUCGGGUCGUAAAACUCUGUCCUCAAGGAAGAUAAUGACGGUACUUGAGGAGGAAGCCCCGGCUAACUACGUGCCAGCAGCCGCGGUAAUACGUAGGGGGCUAGCGUUAUCCGGAUUUACUGGGCGUAAAGGGUGCGUAGGCGGUCUUUCAAGUCAGGAGUGAAAGGCUACGGCUCAACCGUAGUAAGCUCUUGAAACUGGGAGACUUGAGUGCAGGAGAGGAGAGUGGAAUUCCUAGUGUAGCGGUGAAAUGCGUAGAUAUUAGGAGGAACACCAGUUGCGAAGGCGGCUCUCUGGACUGUAACUGACGCUGAGGCACGAAAGCGUGGGGAGCAAACAGGAUUAGAUACCCUGGUAGUCCACGCUGUAAACGAUGAGUACUAGGUGUCGGGGGUUACCCCCCUCGGUGCCGCAGCUAACGCAUUAAGUACUCCGCCUGGGAAGUACGCUCGCAAGAGUGAAACUCAAAGGAAUGGACGGGGACCCGCACAAGUAGCGGAGCAUGUGGUUUAAUUCGAAGCAACGCGAAGAACCUUACCUAAGCUUGACAUCCCAAUGACAUCUCCUUAAUCGGAGAGUUCCCUUCGGGGACAUUGGUGACAGGUGGUGCAUGGUUGUCGUCAGCUCGUGUCGUGAGAUGUUGGGUUAAGUCCCGCAACGAGCGCAACCCUUGUCUUUAGUUGCCAUCAUUAAGUUGGGCACUCUAGAGAGACUGCCAGGGAUAACCUGGAGGAAGGUGGGGAUGACGUCAAAUCAUCAUGCCCCUUAUGCUUAGGGCUACACACGUGCUACAAUGGGUAGUACAGAGGGUUGC
rnacentral:rRNA from 1 species